rnacentral:rRNA from 1 species
AUACGGAGGGGGUUAGCGUUGUUCGGAAUUACUGGGCGUAAAGCGCACGUAGGCGGAUUGGAAAGUUGGGGGUGAAAUUCCAGGGCUCAACCCUGGAACUGCCUCCAAAACUAACAGUCUAGAGUUCGAGAGAGGUGAGUGGAAUUCCAAGUGUAGAGGUGAAAUUCGUAGAUAUUUGGAGGAACACCAGUGGCGAAGGCGGCUCACUGGCUCGAUACUGACGCUGAGGUGCGAAAGCGUGGGGAGCAAACAGGAUUAGAAACCCUAGUAGUCC